rnacentral:rRNA from 1 species
UACGUAGGGUGCAAGCGUUGUCCGGAAUUAUUGGGCGUAAAGAGCUCGUAGGCGGUUUGUCGCGUCUGCCGUGAAAGUCCGGGGCUCAACUCCGGAUCUGCGGUGGGUACGGGCAGACUAGAGUGAUGUAGGGGAGACUGGAAUUCCUGGUGUAGCGGUGAAAUGCGCAGAUAUCAGGAGGAACACCGAUGGCGAAGGCAGGUCUCUGGGCAUUAACUGACGCUGAGGAGCGAAAGCCAGGGGAGCAAACGGG